rnacentral:rRNA from 1 species
AUUGAACGCUGGCGGCAGGCCUAACACAUGCAAGUCGAACGAGUGGCGGACGGGUGUGUAAUGUCUGGGAAUCUAGCUUAUGGAGGGGGAUAACUACGGGAAACUGUAGCUAAUACCGCAUACCAUACGAUGAGCACAAGUGGGAUUAGGUAGUUGGUGGGGUAAAGGCUCACCAAGCCGACGAUCCCUAGCUGGUCUGAGAGGAUGACCAGCCACACUGGGACUGAGACACGGCCCAGACUCCUACGGGAGGCAGCAGUGGGGAAUAUUGCACAAUGGGGGCAAGCCUGACGCAGCCAUGCCGCGUGGAUGAAGAAGGCCUUCGGGUUGUAAAGUACUUUCGGGGGCGAGGCGUUAACUACAGAAGAAGCACCGGCUAACUCCGUGCCAGCAGCCGCGGUAAUAC